rnacentral:rRNA from 1 species
UACGAAGGGGGCUAGCGUUGUUCGGAAUUACUGGGCGUAAAGCGCGCGCAGGCGGUCUUCCAAGUCAGUGGUGAAAGCCCGGAGCUCAACCCCGGAAUUGCCAUUGAAACUGUGAGACUGGAGUACGAGAGAGGUGAGUGGAAUUCCCAGUGUAGAGGUGAAAUUCGUAGAUAUUGGGAAGAACACCGGUGGCGAAGGCGGCUCACUGGCUCGUAACUGACGCUCAGGCGCGACAGCGUGGGGAUCAAACAGG